rnacentral:rRNA from 1 species
ACGGGAGGCAGCAGUGGGGGAUAUUGCACAAUGGGGGAAACCCUGAUGCAGCGACGCCGCGUGAGUGAAGAAGUAUUUCGGUAUGUAAAGCUCUAUCAGCAGGAAGGAUAAUGACGGUACCUGACUAAGAAGCACCGGCUAAAUACGUGCCAGCAGCCGCGGUAAUACGUAUGGUGCAAGCGUUAUCCGGAUUUACUGGGUGUAAAGGGAGCGUAGACGGCAUGGCAAGCCAGAUGUGAAAGGCAGGGGCUCAACUCCUGGACUGCAUUUGGAACUGUCAAGCUAGAGUAUCGGAGAGGUAAGUGGAAUUCCUAGUGUAGCGGUGAAAUGCGUAGAUAUUAGGAGGAACACCAGUGGCGAAGGCGGCUUGCUGGACGAUAACUGACGUUGAGGCUCGAAAGCGUGGGGAUCGAACAGGAUUAGAUACCCUGGUA